AGGGUUUGAUCCUGGCUCAGAACGAACGCUGGCGGCGUGCCUCAUACAUGCAAGUCGAGCGAGAAAGUUCCCUUCGGGGAAUGAGUAAAGCGGCAAACGGGUGAGUAACACGUGGGAAACUUGCCCUUCGGUGGGGGAUAAGCUCUCGAAAGGGGGUCUAAUACCGCAUAACAUCGGAAGAUCGCAUGGUCUACCGAUCAAAGCAGCAAUGCACCGGAGGAUAGUCCCGCGCCUGAUUAGCUUGUUGGUAGGGUAAAAGCCUACCAAGGCGACGAUCAGUAGCCGGCCUGAGAGGGUGAUCGGCCACACUGGGACUGAGAUACGGCCCAGACUCCUACGGGAGGCAGCAGUAGGGAAUAUUGCGCAAUGGCCUAACGGCUGACGCAGCAACGCCGCGUGGAUGAUGAAGCUUUUCGGAGUGUAAAAUCCUUUCAGCAGGGAAGAAUAUCUUGACGGUACCUGCAGAAGAAGUCCCGGCCAACUCCGUGCCAGCAGCCGCGGUAACACGGGGGGGACAAGCGUUGUUCGGAUUCACUGGGCGUAAAGCGCUCGUAGGUGGGCUGGAUAGUCGGAUGUGAAAACCUGAGGCUUAACUUCAGGCCUGCAUCCGAAACUGCCAGUCUUGAGUACUGGAGAGGGUGGCGGAAUUCCUGGUGUAGCGGUGAAAUGCGUAGAUAUCAGGAGGAACACCGAUGGCGAAGGCAGCCACCUGGACAGAUACUGACACUGAGGGGCGAAGGCUAGGGUAGCAAACAGGAUUAGAUACCCUGGUAGUCCUAGCGGUAAACGAUGGGCACUAGGUGUUGGCGGUAUCGACCCCGCCAGUGCCGCAGCAAACGCAUUAAGUGCCCCGCCUGGGGAGUACGGUCGCAAGAUUGAAACUCAAAGGAAUUGACGGGGGCCCGCACAAGCGGUGGAGUAUGUGGUUCAAUUCGACGCAACGCGCAGAACCUUACCUGGGCUUGACAUAUACCGGAAAGCCACAGAGAUGUGGUUCCUCCUUCGGGAGUCGGUAUACAGGUGCUGCAUGGCUGUCGUCAGCUCGUGUCGUGAGAUGUUGGGUUAAGUCCCGCAACGAGCGCAACCCUCGUUCUUAGUUGCCAUCAGGUUAUGCUGGGGACUCUAAGAAGACUGCCGGUGACAAGCCGGAGGAAGGUGGGGAUGACGUCAAGUCCUCAUGGCCCUUACGCCCAGGGCUACACACGUACUACAAUGGCCGGUAUAGACGGCAGCAAUACCGCAAGGUGGAGCUAAUCCCUAAAACCGGCCUCAGUUCAGAUUGGAGUCUGCAACUCGACUCCAUGAAGGUGGAAUCGCUAGUAAUCGCAGAUCAGCAUGCUGCGGUGAAUACGUUCCCGGGCCUUGUACACACCGCCCGUCAAGCCAUGGGAGUGGGGGGUACCCGAAGUCGCCGACCUAACUUCGGAUGGCGGCGCCUAAGGUAAAACCCACGACUGGGGCUAAGUCGUAACAAGGUAGCC
rnacentral:rRNA from 1 species